rnacentral:rRNA from 1 species
UACAGAGGGUGCAAGCGUUGUUCGGAAUUAUUGGGCGUAAAGGGCGCGUAGGCGGUGCGGUAAGUCUGUAGUGAAAUCUCUGGACUCAACUCAGAGUCUGCUAUAGAAACUGCCGUGCGUUGAGUGUGGGACGAGGUGAGUGGAAAUUCCCGGUGUAGCGGUGAAAUGCCGUAGAUAUCGGGAGGAACACCUGUCGGCGAAAGCGGCUCAC